CAGUCGCCGCGGGAAUACGGAGGGGGCUAGCGUUGUUCGGAAUUACUGGGCGUAAAGCGCACGUAGGCGGCUUGGUAAGUUAGAGGUGAAAGCCCGGAGCUCAACUCCGGAAUUGCCUUUAAGACUGCCGAGCUAGUAGGUGAGAGAGGUAGUGGAAUUCCGAGUGUAGAGGUGAAAUUCGUAGAUAUUCGGAAGAACACCAGUGGCGAAGGCGGCUUACUGGCUCAUUCUAGACGCUGAGGUGCGAAAGCGUGGGGAGCAAACAGGAUUAGAUACCCCUGUAGUCCCUGUCUCUUAUACA
rnacentral:rRNA from 1 species